rnacentral:lncRNA from 1 species
GCUUUUAAUAUAAGAAAUUACUUAAGGUCUUGCUCAAGGUACGAGAUCGAGCUAACUCAAGGUGUAAGAUCAUGCUAAAAUUCCCAAAUUUGUGGAGGAAAACUAGAGAUACUCAAGACAUGAAGUCGAGUUAAAGAUGCAUAAACAUGGAAUCAAGCUAGUAAUACCCAAGGAGUUAAGUCAAACUAAAGAUAUUUAGGUGUAAAGUGAGAUGUUUUUAGUGUGGAGCUAAACUGGAGAUACUUAAGGCAUGAAGUAGAGUUACAAAGACUCUAGAAAUGGAGCUUAGCUAGAAAUAUUCAACGAUGUGUAAAUUGGCAAGUUGUUA